rnacentral:rRNA from 1 species
CUUGAACGCUGGCGGCAGGCUUAACACAUGCAAGUCGAACGAGUGGCGGACGGGUGAGUAAUGCUUGGGAAUCUAGCUUAUGGCGGGGGAUAACUACGGGAAACUGUAGCUAAUACCGCGUACCAUAGGAUGAGCCCACGUGGGAUUAGGUAGUUGGUGAGGUAAAGGCUCACCAAGCCGACGAUCUCUAGCUGGUAUGAGAGGAUGACAAGCCACACUGGGACUGAGACACGACCCAUACUCCUACGGGAGGCAGCAUAGGGGAAUAGUGCACAAUGGGCGACAGCCUGAUGCAGCCAUGCCGCGUGUAGGAAGAAUGCCUUAGGGUUGUAAAGUACUUUCAGCGGGGAGGCGUUACCCGCAGAAGAAGCACCGGCUAACUCCGUGCCAGCCGCCGCGGUAAUAC